GAGAACGACCAUACUAUGCUGAAAACACCGGUUCUCGUCCGAUCCCCGAAGCAUCAGGUCUGGUUAGUACUUGGAUGGGUGACCGCCUGGGAAUCCCAGAUGUCGUUCGCU
rnacentral:rRNA from 1 species